UCAGGACCCACAUGUUACUUCCAACCAGCCCUAAGCUGAACUAUCUUCUGAGGAAGAUGCUUCUUCUGGAUCACUGUCUCUUCAUGGUGCACUCAAUGUAAGACUCCAGCAGGAAGAUGGUUUCGUCCACCUGGAUCUCACUGGCAUCCAACCUGAGUGAAAAGUAAAGGCAUUUGCCUAGACUGAAUGUUCAUUAGCAUAUUUAAGAUUAGAGGUUAGGGUGGGUGUGGCCAUGGAUAACUGCUUGGUUACCCUUGAGAGUGGAUGGAAAGAAAGCAGGAGAACCAGUAGAUCAUUUUGCUAUUUACCGAGCAUCUUUAUGUGCCAGACACCAUGCAAACUGCUAAGAAUACAAAAUACAGAGCCUCUGUCCUGGGGGAAGGUAGUCUUCAUUUGCAAUCAGGAAAACGAACGUAAAGGCACAGGUAUAAAAGGACCUAGUGUGUUUUAAAAUAGCAAGAAACUAAGAGUGUCUGAAGCUUAAAGUGAGUGGUGAUUAGGAAGAAAUGGAAGCUUCUUCAGCCUGACAAAAGCCAUCUAGGAAAAACCCACAGCUAACAUCAUACUUAAUGGUGAAAGACUAAAAGCUUUUCUCCUAAGAUCAGAAACAAAACAAAGAUGUCUGCUUUUGUACUUCUAUUCAACCUUUUACUGGAGGUUCUAGCCAGGGUAAUGGGGCAGGAAAAAAAAAAAGUAAAGGCAUCUAGAUUGAAAAGACAGAAGUAAAACUCUCUCUAUUCAUGGAUGACAUAAUCCUAUUAUAAAAAAUCUCAAAGAAUCUGCAAAAAAACUACUAGAAUUAAUAAAUGAAUUUAGUAAAGUUGUGGGAUACAAAAUCACAACACCAAAGUUGGUUGUUUUUGUAUAACACUAGCAAUGAACAAUCUAAAACUGAAAUAAGCGACCACUAAACUAGUAUCCAAAAAAAUACUUAAGAAAUAAAUUUAAUGAAAGAGGUGCACAAAUUGUGCACUGAAAUGUGAAGGUCUAGGAAAGAGGUGAUGAAGGCCUGCGUGUGGACCAAGAUGAAAGGCCAGAUUUGAG
rnacentral:lncRNA from 1 species